rnacentral:lncRNA from 1 species
CAGAAGUGCCUUAUGCAGACAUUUUCUCCCAGCCUGUGGCUUGUCUUCUCUUUCUCCUGACAGUCUUUCUUUUGAAGAGCAGACCAGGUGUGGUGGCUCACGCCUGUAAUCCCAGCAAUUUGGGAGGCUGAGAGAGGAGUCUGUCGGGAAAACAUGCACCCUCUACAAAGGAGUGAUUCAGAUGACCUGGUCUCAGCUUCCAGCUCCUCUGCUCUCCAGCCGUUCACACACUCCCCAUCACAGGAAGAUUUGUUAAAAGCCAACCAAGAAAGAGAGAGAAUUUGAGAUCCUGCACAAACAAUCCUAGAAGGUGCCAGAAGCUGCCAGAAGCUUCUUCUUUUCCAAGAAGCCACCACUUUGACUGCAGCCACAAAUGACUGCCCACUCCUGCAGGAAGACAGGAGGACCCCAGAGCCCUAUGUGCUCUGCCCCUGUCUACAGACCUGCCUCUCACCGCAUGCCCACAGUCACCACAUGUCAGCCAUGGCAAACUACCUGGGGACCCCCAAGCGACCUGCUUGUGGGGCUCUGCACCCUGGUGCCAGUUCUUCUUUUAGCCUGGGGUCCUCCACCUGCCCUCUGCCUCAAUGGCUCAGUAGAGCCUUCAGAGCUCACAUAUCAGCUCCUCCAAAAAGUGGUGCCGGACCCUGCCUCCCGUCCCUGAAAACCGAGCUUGCACUGUCACAUUUAACAUGUUGUGCCUGACCUAUUCUUCUACACUUCUGUCCUCGUGACGUGGGGUCUGCUGGAGGCCAGUGAAUGUGAAUUUUAUCUUUGUACUUGCAGGGCACAACACGACACUAGGUAUGGAUUAGAUGCUCAGUAACAAUUUUAAACUGGUUUAAAAGUAAUUCCAACAUUGCAGAAGGGUCUAAGGCAAAAAAUGAAUAAAAGUUUCCUGCCACUUCUCAAUCUCAUUCUUCAGAGGCAUCCACAUACACGAGGAAAGCAGUCUUCUAGAUAUUGACUACGCCUGAAUGACCAUACUACAUGUGCACUCAGGCACCGAGCACAUAAGCAUAUGCACAGGACCAUAUAAGCCACGCUGUCCC